AGACAUGCAACAUGUGCAGAGAGAUGGGUUCCCAGGAACAGAGCUAAGAACCACUGCACUAAAUAGUUUCAGCCAGUGGAUGCAGUGUUUCUUCUUCUUCGUUCUGCAUCUGAUGAUGUCCACAGGUGACCACAAUCACCAGGUGAAGUGUGUUUGUAGCAGGUGAGAUGGGUAACCUACAGGACGUGUGAUACAUUUAAAUCGAGGAUCUGUGUGGCCUGUUGGAAAAGUAUUUCUGGAUUAUCCCAACUAUUUCUUCUAGACAGAAGCAAGAUUAAACAAAGAGCAAACCGAUCAAAGCAUCCGUUCAGUGGCUGAAGGACGUUCUUGUUGAAGAACAGACUCGCUGUGUUCUUCAUGAGUUCCUUACACACCAUCUCCGAGCUCGUGGAGCCUGACGAGUCUCUGGAGCUUGCGUCUGGAGCUCAGAGCAUCCAUCAGACCAGCAAAGACUGGAGUUUAACCCUCAAAGAGCUUCGGGUGCCUACUAGCCACCAUGAUAGACAGACAACUAAACGGACAAGCAAGUCACCGUCUCAUAAGCAGGUGAAUCUGCCGCAGUGGCUGGUGAAUCUGAUGCGAGACAUCGAGGAGGCCACGACACAUGAGCUCACCAUUGAAUGAAGAUCCCUCAGACAGUGAGCUUUAACAGCCAACACAUCUUCUGCUGAGCAUUUCACCUCUCUUCACACUCGAGGCACUGAUGGACCUACAGCAAUCCUGAAGAACAUCAGCCGUAUUUGUUCGAGCACACAAACAAAGCUUGAACUCAUAAGAUGUGCUCACCAUUAAAGCUCGAUUCAAUUAUUAAUGCUACUGGAAUCACAAAUCUGUAGCGUCUGAUGUCUAUUAUUCAACUAUUGGUUGACCUCAUGCAAGAGAUCUUAGUGUCCAACGUUGGACUAAUACUACACCAGGAGCUCUUAAUUACUGCACAGGCACCUCAUGACAAACAUGUUAUGAUGGCUGAAGACCUCAGAUUAACCCGUCCUGUUAUGCAAUGACCACAUGACCUUGUUUUUGUGACCCAACUCAAAGUGUGGUCAAAA